rnacentral:rRNA from 1 species
UACGAGGGGGGCAAGCGUUGUUCGGAAUUAUUGGGCGUAAAGGGUGCGUAGGCGGUUUGGUAAGUCUUAUGUGAAAUCUACAGGCUCAACUUGUAGUCUGCAUGAGAAACUGCCGGGCUUGAGUAUGGGAGAGGUGAGUGGAAUUCCUGGUGUAGCGGUGAAAUGCGUAGAGAUCCGGAGGAACACCAAAGGCGAAGGCAGUGUCCUGGGGAGUACCUGACGCUCAGGUGCGAAAGCCAGGGGAGCGAACGGG